AUUUGUAAAAACGAAGCAAAUCACAAAUACUAAUAUUUUUGAAACGGAUGUAUGUAAAAAUGAAGCAAAUCGAAAUACUAAUAUUUUUUGAAACGGAUAUCCGAUUCAAUCCGUUAUAUGUAUAUAUAUAUAUAUAUAUAUAUAUAUAUAUAUAUAAAUUUAAAGAAUUAUAUAUAUGUAUAAGUUAUAUAUAUAUUAUAGUUUAUAUAAAUUAUACAAUAUUUUUAUGUAUUAAAUUUAUUACAUUAGGUAUUAGAAUUUAAAAAUUUAAAUAAUAAUUUAUUUUUGUAAUGAAAUUUUAUUAUUUUCUACUAUUUUUAAAUUGUGCAUUUAUUUUUAAAUUGUUUAUUUUAUUUACGGAUCAAAUCGAAUAUCCGUGAAAAUUCUAAAAAUUUUCAGAUAUCCGAGACACCGAAUAUUUGGGUGGCUACGAAUCGAAUAGACACUAAUACCUCCAAAUAUCCGGAUAUUCGAUCCAUGUCCACCCAUAUUUAUGGAUACAAUUUGGUUUUCUUUAUAUGAAACAAAAUUCAGUAAUAUCUAAGCUUAUUUUAUUUUUAAUUAAUUUUAUUUACAAUUUUUUUUCUUUCAUGUGUUAUUUUGGAUAAAGGUCAUUUAAUAUUGAUUAAUAAUAUAUUUAUACAUUUACCAACCACUUUUAUAUAUUUACAUACACAUACAUGUGGACAGUGACGUGAGCACCUAUAUAACUAAAUAUUCACCACAACUAAAGUAUAUAAUUCUCUUAGAAGUUGAAUUAUUCUUUUAAUGUUUUUUCACUAUCAACCAAAUUGUAGUGAAAUGAUUUGUCUUAAUUAUUUUCUUUUCUUUUUUCCUUAACUAUUAUACGUUUAGAAACUAUAAUAUGAAAUCAUUGGUUCAACAUCAGGACUAUCUAAAAUUUAUAUAAAUUGAAAUCAAACAAAUAAUAAUAAUUUUUGGUUAUUACCAAAAAUCCAAAAACAUCAACAACAUGAACCGAACAAACCAAAAUAAAUAUUGAUUUAGAAUUAUAGCUAUAUUUUAAGAGAUUAAAAACAAAAAAAAAACAACCUAAAGCCAGACCGAUAUCCAGAUUAAACAGAUAUAAUGUCUUCUUAUUAAAAAAUAACAAAAUUAAUAAUCACAUCCCGCGCAAGGCGCUGGUUAUUACCUAAUAUAUAUUAUUACUUAUUACCUAGUAUAUAUUAUUACUUAAAUGAAUAGACAUCUGUUACGCUUAAGUUGAUAGUUGAUACGUUGCUGAAUUAAUUUUAUUUUAUUUGUUCAAAGCAAAUAAUAACAAACUAGGUGGUAACAUGCGCAAUAGACUAAAGAAAAUUAAAACUUUUAAUUUCUGCCACAAUAAUUGAGUCAAUCAAAAUAUAUUAUUUCGCAAGAUUAGUGGCAUGGAUUAUUCGCGAGAUUUACCCGGGCUACGAAAUUAAUUUUAGUUGCCAAUUUUUAAAGUAUGGAAAGUACUAUAAUUAAGAAAUCAUCAUAUAUGAAAAAAUAUUAAAUUUGAAAAUUAAGCUGAUCAAAUAUAACCAAAUUGACGUUUCUGACGUGUUGAUUCCUUAAUUUUAGAGUCUUGGUGCUUAAGUUAAGGGAUUAAAUUGUAUUUUUAAGUUUGUAUUGUCCAAUCAGUCAAAAGAUAAGAUUCAAUCGGCGUCAUAAUCCAUGAUCAAUGCUUCUAUCAAAUCAAUUAUAUGUUUUCGUUUCAACGGUGAAUUUCCAUUACCAAAUUCAGCCAAUAUUAAUGAGUACAUAUAUAACCGGGAUUAGUGUCAUAUUUAGCUUCAAAUUUUCUAAUUUGAAAUAUUUAUAUGGCAAUCAUACACUGUCAUGAAUGAAUAAAACAAUUAUUACUUUUAAUCUAUAUAUAUUAGAAAGUCAAAAGUCACAAAUAUUAGAUAUAAUGAACUAUGGAACAAAAAUUUGCAUGUUUUUAUAAUGUAAGCUUAUUUGUUUUUUUUUCACACCAAUUAUCUCACCUAUGAUGUCUACAUAAAGUUUGAAAUCGAUAUCACUUUACUAUAAAGAUAAACCGAUCACAGUAUUUACACACAGAAGUCCAACAAUAUAAGAGGUACAUGUCACCUAGGAUCAAUAUACCUGGUAGAGUGUUUGUAUUGGCUAAACCAAUCAGCUCCGAUUGGUUAUGGAACCGGAAUGCUUUCUCGGGCAAGGGGGAGACAGGCUCAGUUAGAUCAACAAAGACGAAUCUAUGAGUCAGAAGUUCUUCGCACAUCUAGAGACAUCAAAACCGGACACGAAAAACAUUGCUCCGGCAUUGAGUCGUUCACGAAAUUGCGGGAGACGGCUAGCACUGAUUGUGGCUUGCAUCAUGGUCACCUGAAACAUAGUUAGGAACAUCGACUCUACCUAACAGGAAACCAAAACCAAUACUAAACAACAUGAUCAAUAUUAAACCAAAAUCACGAUACGGUUGGCAGAGUAUAGUAGUUCAGACCAGUAAGACUUAAGUUUUCUAAAAAAAAAAAAUUAAAAAGGUAGAGCACGAUCAGGUUUACCGAAAAGACUAUCAAAACUCAUAAACAGUCUAACCCAGAACGAUUGAUAAGAACAGAAAAAAUCACUCACAUUAACAUCCACGAUGAGCAAAUCCAUCCACAUAAGCUCCCCACCACGCUUAACAUUCUUAGCUUCCAAGAAUCGAAGCAGCCUGGCCUCGACAAUGAUGAGCACCGCCCGGACUUCAAGUCGGAGAAGAAAACAUUUGAGUUAGCCAUGAAGAGGGAUGAGCAAAAAUAUAUGAAUAUGAGUGAGAUGCGUAGAAGAGAGAUGUGGAUAUCGCGAUUCGCAGUAGAGAGAUUGUGACAUAUUUAUACACGAUUUCGCCGACGAACAGCUCAAUGAAAGCUUUCGUAGUGGCCUUACGAAAUUAAGAGGAGUUAAGAAAGAACCAAUCAUAACGCAUACCGUUACAGAUCUGGAUCGUCCCCUCCGCCGAUAGAUGAGAAACGAAGAACAAGAAGGUGCGCAUCACACCGGAUUAGGGUUCUCGUGUCUUCUGUGGUCACUGGGCCGCAAAACCAAACCGGGUCAGAAAGCCCAAAAGAAGCCCGCUUUGAGAUAAUGAUCACGAAACGUUGCGUUUCAUUUAAUGGCUGCGUGGCAGCUCGAGAACGCCUGAAUUUAUGCGCUGGCAGCUGAUGUGGACACCUUGAGAGAGAUUGAAAGCCUAUUUUAUAUAUAAAGAUCUGAGUAAAAAUGGGUGGUUUGUUUUAUUAAAGUUACAUAUAUCAACAUUUGUCAGGAAAGUUACAUAUUUUCAUCUGUUUUCUUGAAAUAAAUAAAAUGAUCUGUUUUUUUGGUUAACCUAAUGGAUUUUAUAGAAAUCUCAACUUUGAUACUUAAAGUUAAUAGAGUUUGAAUGAACACUAGGAUAGACGGUUCUGUAAAAGACGAAAUAAAUGUGGUCAAUGCCAGAAUACAGUAUAGGUUGUAGUUUAAGUACUCGAGUAAACGUGUUUAAUUUUUUUUAAUGUCUUUUUUUUUUCCAACGAGGGCUUUAAUUGAGUUCUUACAACUGAAUUUGGACGAAUAGCGAUCAUAAAAAUAAUUAGGUGAGCUUAGAAGUAGAAAUCAUAUCACACAUGGCUUUGUAAAUAGUUUGUAUGAAUUCUGUCGCUUUUGCUAGUUUCGUGUGGUUGUUUACAUAUGUCUAAUUGACCGUCUUUGUAUGGGCCCAUUACUUCCUUCAUUGGAGACGACUUUUGGGUCUGGUUUAGGGUUUUGGUUAUGCUUCUCCAUUUGUUGUACUGGUUUUAAGAUGAUACACUUUUGCGGCUACAUAACUUUUCACUAUAAAGAUGAUACACUUUAGAAAGUUAAAAUUUCAAAUAUUUCUUUAAAAGUAAAAUGGAACCUUUUUUUUUGACAUCGAAACAGAAAACUAAAACUUAGUUUGCAUCCAUUUGGCUAGCAACAUGGGCUAACCAUGUUGGAGCACAAACUAGUUCACAUACGGUAUCCGGAGCUCGCGUGAUCGGACUCCCUUCGCUAGGCCAUCCGCGCGGAUGUUUAUAGACCUUGAUAUGUAGGAUAUAGAGAAUGCGCUGAAAUUGCUUGCAAGAGCGUUAAUUUCAUCCAGUUCAGUUGCCAUAGCCGGCCAUUCCUCUUCAACAUUCUUGACAAGCUUGACGAGCUGUUGACAGUCAGUUUCAAAGUGCAUUAUCUUAGGUUCUUUCUUCAGUGCUUCCUGCAUUGCCCAAAUUAAUCUUUCCGCCUCCGCGUGUAGAGGAGAUUCAGUUAUACUCCCAUUCUUAGCCCCGUAUAGGAUCGUUACGUUUUCGUCCAUCAUCACAAAACCUAAGCCUAUAUCUUCUUGAGCACUUACCCACAAAUCAUCGACUUGGCAUCUCCAUUUCACUCUGCUCAUUAUCCAUACUAGCUUCCUCCAGCACAGGGACUAACUGAGCGAGUUUCCAACUUUCAGCCUCGCUCUUGGCGAGUUGGAGUGUAUCCAUUGGCGUUAUGUCUCUGUUGUUAAACACCUUUUCGUUGCGUGCUUUUCAUAUGUACCAAAAUAUCCACGGGAAUGCAUACAUCAUCUCGGCGCUUGCCCCUUUCUCCUUAGCCUUCCAUAGUAGAUAAUAUAUGUUUUCAAAUAGAGAUGACCGCGGGAAUAACCCCGGAGGUGCUGGGAUUUGUGAUAACGCCCAGCAUUGCAGAGCAGACGGGCACUCGAACAGCGUGUGGUUUAUAGUUUCAGAUUUCGCACCGUAGCGGACACAUAUACUAUCUCUCGCACAAUGUCGAUCCCGUAAACUCUGCGCCGUUGCCACAAAUCCGGAUAUAGCUUGCCAAAUAAAGUGCUUUAGUUUCCUUGGGGCUUUGAUUUUCCAUGAUGCCUUCUUUAACUCAGUAGUGCUAGGUUCAGAGAUCGUCGGCUGGUUAGCUGCCGCACGCAGGUUAUGAGCUACGGAGUAGCCUGACUUCACCGUAUAUAGUCCAGAUUUUGUAUAAUCCCAGCUGUAACAAUCUCGUCUUCCAGUUCUGCUCAAACGAAUUUAUUCAAUAUGGGGUAUGUCUUCCACUGCCACGGAUUCUCCCAGCAAAUUUGAGUUCCAUGUGAUCGUUUCCAUGUUGAUGAGGUGAUGGACUCUCAGGUGGUCAUCUCUGUUUACGCCAAGACCUAGUGGUGGUCGUAAGGGGUUAGUUGGCAUAUAUUCUGCAUUUAUUUUGAUAAGAAACUAAAAAUGACAUUUUCCAUUUUCUUUAUUUCCUCAUUCUUCUCCCUCCAUACGGUUCUCCAUUUAUAUGUAGCCUCUUCUUCUUCUUCUCAUAUCCCAUUUUUGUAUCUUCAUAGGUUUGUAUUACUUUAUCACCAAUGUUCUUGGGUAUAAUUUCAUUUUGUAUAUUCUCGUCUUCUAAUCUGGUCGACAUCGUCUCUUUAUCUAACCAACAUCUAGAGUUGUAGAAGUUUCAUCAUAUGUUUUCUUAUCUUGAUUAUUAUUACAUCUAUUGAACGAACACCUAAACAAGUUCCAUAGCGUUUUGCUUUUACCUUGAAUCAGAAGAUCAAAAGUAUAUAAUUUUAUACAGUACAAUGAUCUAUUAUAUUGUUUGGUGUGUCUCAUUAGGGAUGGAUCUUCUACAUACCAGUUCUAUAUCCCAUAGACAUAAAAGCAAGUUCUUGAUGCAUGUUUGAAAUGCUUAACCUACUUAGUGUAGACCCGGAAAUGUUAGACCAGUUUACCGAAAUACCAAGCAGUGAAAUAUCAAACCGUUAAUUUGUUCUUGAGGGACCUUCGGAUUCGAUACGGUUUCGGCUUCAAUUCCCGUUGGCCACUAGAAAAUUAACAUUUCGGCAUCGCCAGAGAUAUAGGCGACCGACACGUGGGCUGAUAACGUAGGUUGCAAACAUGUAACUAGUAUAGACUCAUGUUAAGGUGGAACCAGGAUAUCCCUAUAUUAUCCAAAAAAAUAUCAAACCGUUAAUUUGUUCAUGAACACCGACUCAAUGUCAAUCUUUCGACAAUAAAUUGGGAUGCAUCAAAAUGUCAGAAUAGAGUAAAUAAACACAUACAUCCAAAAAAUUUAUUACUUUCACCAAUUCUGAAAUUCACAUUCUUUGAUGCUGAUAUGAUAGAAUUUUUCUAUCUGGCUAUUGCAACGAUUUACGUAGGUAGACAUGAAACCAAGAAAUUGUAUCAUAUAUCAAAUAUAUAUUUAUCUUAAUAUUAAAAAAUAAUAAUAAUACUAUAUUUGUAUAUAAAUUUCUUAUCGCUUUUGAAAAGCUGUCGUAGUUUACAAAACUUUAAAUAUAAGUAUAUGCUAGAUUUUUAUCCACGUUUUCAAAACGUGGAUUUCUUUUUUUGCAAGUCUCAUAUCAAUAUGUCAAAUAUUUGUAAGUUCAUGUAUAUAUAUAUUGAACUUUCAUGUUUCAUGUAAAUACAAUAAAUUUAAUCAGCAAACUAUUAUGUUAUUUUAUUCAUAACAAUAUAGACGUGAAUACUUAUCAUAUAUUUUUAUGUUUAAACUUACAAAUAUUUAUCGUGUCUAUACUAUUAAGAGAUAAUCAUUCUGAAAAAUCUACUUAAACAAAGUUGUUGCACCAUUUCAUUAACUAAUAAUAUUUUGAUUUUAUUUUAAAUUUCGACUAACAAUAAGUUACUUUAUACUUCUCUAACAAUCAUUAGUCAAUAGUUAUAUUUAUUAGGGCACUUUUUUAAACGGUUACUAAAAUCCCUUCAAAGUGCCGGAACUUAUAUUUCAUCCUUUUUCAUUUGCUAAACGGUCACGUAAAAUAUUAAGAUUGCUAACAAAUAUUCUAUCUACGAGAACAAGGUAUCAUACACUAUCUUUAAAAAUAUUAAACAAACCCAUACACUCAUAUAUUAGUAAGCUGAUAUGUUCAAAAUUCCAAAUCAAUACUAUUAAAACAGAAGGCCCUUUUUUGAGGUGCCCUCCUGUUUCAACAAUAUUUACAAGAUACUGCCACUGGAAUAUUUUUAAGCUAUGAUUUUAAUUAAAUUCUGUAUUUUUUGAAUUCCUUUUUAUUUUAACAGCAAAAAUCCUUUUAUUUAAAAAACAACACCUACGUUUAAUUAAUUAUGUCUUCAUAUCAAAACAUAAUGUAUCAUCCUAUCAAAACAUAGUGUAUUCAUUACGAUCAACAACUACGUUUAAAACAAACUUCAAUUGCUACAACCAAUGUUUUUAAACCCGACACGGACACUGAACCGGACUGCUUACCGGUUUGCUGGGUCACUGGGUCGAUCGCGGGUGAACCGCGGGUUAAUAAAUUAACUAAUUUUAUUAUAUAAUAAUAUCUCAGGUAUGUAAAUAAAAUUAUAAAAACUAAAGUUUAUUAUUUUCUAAAUUUUUUAAAACAUAAAAUAAUAGUUUGGAUAUGUAUAUAUUUUAUGUUUAAAAUUUAGAAAAUACUUAACUUUAGUUUUUAUAUUUUUAUUUUCAUUUGACAUACAAAAUAUCAAAAAAAUAGUUUAGACUAUUUAAAAUUUUCUCGAAUAAGAUAAGAGCUAUGACAUCUAAAAUAAAUCAAAACAUAAAAUUUAUAAAUAUUUAAAUAUUUAAAUGUAUAAUGUGAAUAAUAAAUUAAACUACAAAUACAAAAUAAACCAAAAGUAAAAAAAUCAUUGUAAUAAAUUAUCAAUAAUAGAAAUAAACUAACACCAAAUAACAUCAACUACUUUUGGUUCUCUCUACCAUCGUUCACUUUAUUUUCUUCAGGUGACAUAGUGAAAUCUUCAUCAAAAUCUAAAAAUCACAAAUAUAAAAUUGAAAAAAGAAAACAUAACUUUUUUUUUGUCAAUACCUAACAUCUUAAUUGAAAACUUAGAAUAUAAAACAAAAUUAAAAACUAUAAAAAGGAAAUAAAAGUUAUUUAUUGGUUCGACCGAUGGUUCAACCGGUACCGGAUUCCGUGUUUUACCGGGUUUUUGCGGUUUUUUGCGGGUUUCUAAAUAUUAGGUUUUUCACAAAAUCCAAACCGGAUUUUUUUGGGUUACCGGAUUUACCGGUUCAACCGCGGGUCCGGGUCGGGUUUCAAAACACUGGCUACAACACACUUAUUUUUAUUUCUUAAACAGUCUAUGUACCAAAUCUAUCGACACCGAAGUGAAUUCUGCAAGCUGCCAAAUAAAAACAAUACAUUCUGUUAAUAUCAGUGUAUCAUCGACCAUUUAUCACGUCCAAUCAAUGUUUUGGUUACAAACAAUUGCACAAAAAACAUAAAUGUUGCAUUAUUCAAAAUCUAUAAAAAAUGGUCGUAUUAUAUAUUUUUAAGCUAGCAUUUUUAUAUGUAUAGUAUGAGAUACAAACAAACCCAUAAACCCCAAAUACUUUUUUAUAUUUUAAUUUAUUAAAAUAAGCAAUGUCAUGAUACCAAUCUUUUUUCAAAUCAAUCACCAUAAUAUCUAUACCAUUAAAUAAAAACGUAAAUUUAAGCAAAUAAACUAAUCAAAACAAUAAAAUUUUAUAUAAUAAAUACACAUAAUUAGAAUCCUAAACCGUAAACCACUCUGCAAUAUAGUCGACCAUACUAUUGGAUUUAUAAAGCUUUUUCAAAUCAAUAACCAAAAAUACAAACCACUAAAUCAAAAGCUAAAAAUUUAGCAAAUAAACUAGAUUUUCGAAAGUUCCAUACAUAACCAUAUCCACUAUACUAGAUCAUAAAUACCAAUCUUUUUUCAAAUCAAUAACCAUAAAUAUCUAUACCAUUAAAUAAAAAAGCUAAAAUUUAAGCAAAUAAACUAAAUUUUCGGAAGUUGCUUCAUGUUUUCUUACUU